UGCCCAUCCCUGUGUGCUAGGUGGGACCUCAGAGCUCAGUGCGGAGGACAGGAGAGCAGCUAAGCAGCGAGAAAAACAUCACAGAGUAGGUGUUUGCUGGGAUCUAACUGAUGGUUUUUCCUUUCUUUUUUUUAAGCCACAGACACCCCAGAACCAUGCUGCGGGAGCCCGAAGUCUCCGCCAGCGAAAGCAGAAGCAUUGCAUAGAGACGGUUGAUGCCGCUGUCGAUGGCGCUGUUGUUCUUGUUGAGCGAGGACGGCGGGCUGCAGUUCUGCUUGAGCGCAGCGUCUUCUUCCAGGCCUUCAUAGAGAGAGCUACGGAACGCCUUCACGACGCGGAUCUGCAAGGGACGUGCAGGCAUCAGCAGUGCCACCCUGGGGCCAGCGGGCGCUGGGGGCUCAGGGGCGCACGUCAGGAGGUGCCUGAAGGCGGCUGGAGUCUCAGCAGCCCAAGGUGGGGAGGGGGUGAUAGAGGGGGCUCAGACCAUGGACUUUCAUGGGCUGUGUGUUAGCUGGGGCAGCUCAUGGCACCCAUGGGAGGGAUGACGGAAGCCACCGGCUAACAAGGGCAUCGGCCACUGAGGGGGGUGGGGCGAGGGUCCCCAGACCUAGGGAGAGACUGAGCCUGGUUAACUUCAAAGCAGAGUUUUGACCAUGCAGAAGGGGUGGUGGGCCAGGUGGGAGGAAAAAGGGCAGGCUGUUUGAGAAAAUUUAUCUUAAAUAA